rnacentral:lncRNA from 1 species
CCAUUCAUAAACCGCCUAAGACUCAACCUAGGCCGAAUAAAAUAAAUGCCAACCCACAACCUCGAAAUAUUAAUCCUAGAGGUGUUUAUUAUCCUAGAACUAAUAUUAGAAGAAAUGUUGGUACAUAUAGACCACCUAGGCAAGAUUUUUGAAAAUUGCAUCAAAACAAUUUUUCUACAAAUAGAGUAAAUAAAUAUAGACCUCCAAAUUACU